CACUCCUGCGGGAGGCAGCAGUGAGGAAUAUUGGACAAUGGGUGGAAGCCUGAUCCAGCCAUCCCGCGUGCAGGAAGACGGCCCUAUGGGUUGUAAACUGCUUUUAUCUGGGGAUAAACCUACUUACGUGUAAGUAGCUGAAGGUACCAGAAGAAUAAGCACCGGCUAACUCCGUGCCAGCAGCCGCGGUAAUACGGAGGGUGCAAGCGUUAUCCGGAUUUAUUGGGUUUAAAGGGUCCGUAGGCGGACUGAUAAGUCAGUGGUGAAAUCCGACAGCUUAACUGUCGAACUGCCAUUGAUACUGUUAGUCUUGAGUAAGGUUGAAGUGGCUGGAAUAAGUAGUGUAGCGGUGAAAUGCAUAGAUAUUACUUAGAACACCAAUUGCGAAGGCAGGUCACUAAGUCUUAACUGACGCUGAUGGACGAAAGCGUGGGGAGCGAACAGGAUUAUAAACCCUUGUAGUCCCAUG
rnacentral:rRNA from 1 species